AUGUCCCGCUUUUCCUUAGGGCGUCCCUAUUUUCAUCAGAGAAAAGCUGGAGGGUAUGGUAGGAUGUCCCUAUUUUGAUCAGAAAAAGGUUGGAGGGUAUGAUCAGUUAUGCAACCCCCGAGCCAAGGAGAUAAGUAACUAUACAACCUUCAGAAGACAUCUGAAGGCAGCCCUGUACAGGGAAGUUUUUAAUGCUUGAUGUUUUAUUAUGCUUUUAGGAAGCCACUCAGAGUAGCUGGGGAAACCCAGUCAGAGGGGCAGGGAAUAAUAAUAAUAAUAAUAAUAAUAAUAAUAAUAAUAAUAAUGGAAUACGACACCCCUCUUUUCAUUGGAGAAAUGUUGGAGGGUAUGCACUUAACAACCCCUUUCCCCAUUUGAUAUGCACCUUGAGGACUAUAUUUUAGAAACAAUAUAUGGAGAAAAGGACAGUACUCCUAUUGUUAUAACAGUUGUAUAGAAGUGAAGCAAAACAAGUGUGUGUGUUUUUUCCCUACCCCUGCAUACAACAGCUGCCCGGCCUUAUUACUGGCGCUGCUUCUGCACUUUAAACAGAAGCUGGGCGGAGAAAAUUACCAGGUGAAGCUUAAAUAUUUAUGUCAGGUUGCUGCGAAAGAUGCAGGAGCAGUGCAAAACAAAUGUCCCUCUCUAUGGCCAACUGUCUCUUCGACACAGCUGUUAACGUUCCCACAGUCUAUUUUUCUGCCUGUGGUCGGUCUGUGUGGCCUGAUAGCGUCAUGCAAGCUGUCACGGUCUGACAGGAACUUGUCACGUGAAAUGGAGAGCUCUAAGGUUGACCCAAACAGUGUCAAUGUGGCGCUCAUCAGUGCCCACAACGCCAUAGUGCUCUUGGCAGGGCCUGCAUUUUGGUAAGGUCUGGACGGUAGGACCCAAACCAAUGGCUUUGAGUGACAAGAAAGGAGAGUCUGACUCAACAUCAGGAAGAACCUUCUGAUGGAAGAGGAAGCAACUGUCCUCACCAUCUGACGACUAAACGGUCAGUAAGUUCGAGUGGUCUGAGACUUAAUAGAUGUUGAGAGAAGAACUCAAGGACAGCACAGCAUCAUCUUAGUUACUCCC